AUUGAACGCUGGCGGCAGGCCUAACACAUGCGAGUCGAGCGGAUGAAGGGAGCUUGCUCCUGGAUUCAGCGGCGGACGGGUGAGUAAUGCCUAGGAAUCUGCCUGGUAGUGGGGGAUAACGUCCGGAAACGGGCGCUAAUACCGCAUACGUCCUGAGGGAGAAAGUGGGGGAUCUUCGGACCUCACGCUAUCAGAUGAGCCUAGGUCGGAUUAGCUAGCUGGUGAGGUAAAGGCCUACCAAGGCGACGAUCCGUAACUGGUCUGAGAGGAUGAUCAGUCACACUGGAACUGAGACACGGUCCAGACUCCUACGGGAGGCAGCAGUGGGGAAUAUUGGACAAUGGGCGAAAGCCUGAUCCAGCCAUGCCGCGUGUGUGAAGAAGGUCUUCGGAUUGUAAAGCACUUUAAGUUGGGAGGAAGGGCAGUAAGUUAAUACCUUGCUGUUUUGACGUUACCAACAGAAUAAGCACCGGCUAACUUCGUG
rnacentral:rRNA from 1 species